AUUGAACGCUGGCGGCAGGCUUAACACCUGCAAGUCGAACGAGUGGCAGACGGGUGAGUAAUGCUUGGGAAUCUAGCUUAUGGAGGGGGAUAACUACGGGAAACUGUAGCUAAUACCGCGUACCAUAGGAUGAGCCCAAGUGGGAUUAGGUAGUUGGUGAGGUAAAGGGUCACAAAGCCGACGAUCUCUAGCUGGUCUGAGUGGAUGACCAGCCACUCGGAGACUGAGACGUGGCCCAGACUCCUACGGGAGGCAGCCGUGGGGAAUAUUGCGCAAUGGGGGCAACCUGACGCAGCCAUGCCGCGUGAAUGAAGAAGGCCGUCGGGUUGUAAAGUUCUUUCGGUAGCGAGGCGUUAACUACAGAAGAAGCACCGGCUAACUCCGUGCCAGCAGCCGCGGUAAUAC
rnacentral:rRNA from 1 species